GACGAACGCUGGCGGCGCGCCUAACACAUGCAAGUCGAACGAGCGAGAGAGAGCUUGCUUUCUCAAGCGAGUGGCGAACGGGUGAGUAACGCGUGAGGAACCUGCCUCAAAGAGGGGGACAACAGUUGGAAACGACUGCUAAUACCGCAUAAGCCCACGACCCGGCAUCGGGUUGAGGGAAAAGGAGCAAUCCGCUUUGAGAUGGCCUCGCGUCCGAUUAGCUAGUUGGUGAGGUAACGGCCCACCAAGGCAAUGAUGCGUAGCCGGCCUGAGAGGGCGAACGGCCACAUUGGGACUGAGACACGGCCCAA
rnacentral:rRNA from 1 species